GACGAACGCUGGCGGCGUGCCUAACACAUGCAAGUCGAGGGGUGAUUUCGGUCAUCACUGGCGCACGGGUGAGUAACGCGUAGAUCAUCUGCCCCUAUCACUGACAUAACAGUUCUAACGGACUGCUAAUAUCAGAUGAGGUGAGCAAUCAUCAAAGUUUCGACGGAUAGGGAUGAGUCUGCGUCUGAUUAGGUAGUUGGUGAGGUAACGGCUCACCAAGCCGACGAUCAGUAACUGGUCUGAGAGGACGAACAGUCACACUGGAACUGAGACACGGUCCAGACUCCUACGGGAGGCAGCAGUGGGGAAUAUUGGACAAUGGGCGAAAGCCUGAUCCAGCAAUGCCGCGUGAGUGAUGAAGGCCUUAGGGUGUAAAGCUCUUUUACCAGGGAUGAUAAUGACAGUACCUGGAGAAUAAGCUCCGGCUAACUCCGUGCCAAGCAGCCGCGGUA
rnacentral:rRNA from 1 species